CAAGUCUUUGCCCCUAGGCAAACUAUGACGAUGAAUUUGGAUGAUGUUGCCUAGAGUAGGCCAACCUAGGUCACUGACAGAACGUUCCAGAAGUUCUGAGCACAUGCCUAACUAUUAUGAUGGUCACUGUAAAAGGAAAUUAUAGUGCUGAUCCAAAAAAACAAAUGCUCAGAGUUCGAUCAAGUCUAAAACAGGGAUGGAAGGGCCAAGUAGAGCAUAGGUUUAUCUUUCAGGCAUCUCCAAGGCCAAGGACAGACACUGGCUUGCUCUCAGGAAGAACUCUGGUUUGGCCAGAGAUGAAGCCUCCAACCGGUUUUUAAGGAUCUACUCCAAUGCCUCUCCUCCAGCCAAUACCAAGCAGGCUUGGGGACAUUUCGUCAGCGCUCCCAUGUCAUCAACCAUGUAUUUGCCUCUUUCCCCAUCAUUCUUUGGUCAUCACCUACUAGCUAUGACUUUGUUCUUCCCAGGAACAAGCACCAUGCUUGCUUGCUCCUGGAAGUAGACCUCCAUUAAUAUGUUUUCCAUGAAAGUAACUGGCUCAUGUGUUUCACUUUUUUUUUUUUUUUUUUGAGACAGAAUCUCACUUUGUUGCUCAAGCUGGAGUGCAGCGCAGUGGCGCUAUCUUGGCUCAUUGCAACCUCUGCCUCCCGGGUUCAAACAAUUCUCCUGCCUCAGCCUCUUUAGUAGCUAGGGUUACAGGCACAUGUCACCACUCCUGGCUAAUUUUUUUUAUUUUUAGUAGAGACAGGGUUUCACCACCUUGGCCAGACUGGUCUUGAACUCCUAACCUCAGGUCAUCCAUCCGCCUCAGCCUCCCACAGUGCUGGGAUUACAGGUGUGAGCCACCACACCCAGCCAGAUUGCACUCUUAAGCAAAGCUUGAUGCCUUCCCAUCUUCCCAGAGAGGAAAGUCACAUACAGGUAUGUUCAUAUGUAUGUAAAUAUGCACAUGGAUGUAUGGCACAGAGAGCACCCUGCUCCAGCCACCCUGAAAGCUCCAGACUAGAAGAGGGAAAGCUCUCCACUUUGCCAGGAAGCUUUGGUUGGCAGCUAAGCAGGUCAUCUUUGAAGUUAAGACCAUAAUGAUUUAAAAAAAAAAAAACUCAAGGAAGAAAUAAUCAGGAAGCUCAACAGAGGCAUCUGGGCUCAGAAAUCACAAAAGUCAAUGAUAUUUUUAAAAUAAGAAUACUUUCCAGAUUCUCAAGGGACACACCGAGGACCUCUGGUAUCUAACCAUUUGCACCGCCUCCCUUGUCAAGAUUAAAAUGCUUCCUCCCAGCCUCUCUGAAUCUCUGCUGUUCGCACACUGAAGAUAAUCCUCUGGCAUGAGGCUGUGUGGGCCAGAUGGUUAGCAAUUCUUCAGACAGGAUACAGUUCCGCAGAAUGGGAAUGUGGAGGGCUGGCUCUAGGUGGAGAAUCCAUUAAUGGACAAUAGCAACAGGCUCCUCUCUUCCAAGGAAUUGUGCUGGAGAGCUGCCCAGUCCCCCAAGACAAACCAAGUUUGGUCAAAUGUCUCCCAACAAGCCAUCCCAUGGAAACCCCAGUGAGCUUUGACAGGGACAGGGGACACCAUCAAGGAUGACCUUCAGUGGACACCAAUGGUUCAAUAAUAAGUAAAGCUUUAUUGUUUGCAGAUGGCCUUCACACAUGCCCUUCCACCCCUGCCCUUUCAUUUAGUCCCCCAAUAUGCGGUGAAGGAGGUGAUAUUGGUUUCUCCCUAUUACAUACAGAUCUGAGUCCCAAGGAGGGGGAAUGACCUUCCCAAACUGCAUGCCCUGUGUUUUCUAACCCAGAGCUCUCCCUGCAGUCUCUGAAGAGUUCCACCAAUGGCACCCUUUUCUUCUCUAUCUACAAUACCCAGUUCAGAGCCGCUGCAGAGUAAGAACUCAGUAAAUGUUUAAUUGGGCUCUAUUCAACACAGCUCCUGGUAUUGAUGCCAGUGAGUUUUAGGGGUCACAGGAGAAGGCAUUCAGAUGAGGAGAGACAGCCCCAUUUCUCGUCCUGCACAAGUAUUUGAAUAUCUCAUGAACAGAGCCAACUGCAUUCUCUUGGCCUCAGAACGAUCCACCCUGAAGAUCACACAGCUGCCAAGUGGUAGCAGCAGGUUUUGAAUCCAGGCAGUCUGACUUCACAGCACCCACAUCACCUCCCCAAGGUAGUCUGACUUCAUGCCUAUCCCACCCCUCCCUGCACCAAUGUUCUUCUUCAAUGUCCCUUUUUACCCCUUUCAGUUCUCUCUCUCUCAGCUUUUAGGCAUUUUCAUCUUGCUGUUCAUCUCCACUAAAGCAGUGAGUUUUUCAGUGUGGGGUUGAAUAACUUUACAUCUGUCACUAUACCUUAAUAUAAGUGAGUGUGAGUCAAAACAUGAGCUCAUUCAGGGGUACCUGGGUUUCCAGUCUUCUUUCUCCCUAAUAAAGGUCUUCAGCGGUUACCAAGCAGGUGGUUAUU
rnacentral:lncRNA from 1 species